rnacentral:lncRNA from 1 species
AUGGGUCGGGUCGCGCUCACAGUAUUCAUGUCGCUCGUAGGGUAUUCGUGGCGUGAACACCGCGGAUGAGUUGGUGUGGAGGUGGUAAUGGUAGGAUAAGUGCAAGGCUACUACCGGCGAUGGAGAUAUGACCCGCGCAGAGAGGGCGGAGGAAGAGAAGAUGGAGUGUUUAAGGCGCAGAAAUGUUUUGAUAGGUUUUAACAAAUUUUGAUCCGAAUUUGUAAAAAUAAAAAAAGGGUCCGAUUUUAUAAAAACUCAAAAACAGUGAAUUUUUUUUGCAAAAAGA